rnacentral:rRNA from 1 species
UACGUAGGGGGCGAGCGUUGUCCGGAAUGAUUGGGCGUAAAGGGCGCGUAGGCGGCUAAGUAAGUCUGGAGUGAAAGUCCUAUUUUCAAGGUAGGAAUUGCUUUGGAAACUGCAUAGCUUGAGUGCAGGAGAGGUUAUCGGAAUUCCCGGUGUAGCGGUGAAAUGCGUAGAGAUCGGGAGGAACACCAGUGGCGAAGGCGGGUAACUGGACUGCAACUGACGCUGAGGCGCGAAAGUGUGGGGAGCAAACAGG